AAUGAACGCUGGCGGCGUGCCUAACACAUGCAAGUCGUACGAGAAAGGGGCUUCGGCCCUGGGUAGAGUGGCGCACGGGUGAGUAACGCGUGGGUAAUCUGCCCUUGGAUUUGGAAUAACUCCGCGAAAGUGGAGCUAAUACCGGAUAGUCUGGCUUUUUAACGAAGUCGGUAAAGGAUGCCUCUGCAUAUGCAUUCGUCCGAGGAUGAGCCCGCGCCUCAUUAGCUAGUUGGUAGGGUAAUGGCCUACCAAGGCAACGAUGAGUAGCUGGUCUGAGAGGAUGAUCAGCCACACUGGAACUGAAACACGGUCCAGACUCCUACGGGAGGCAGCAGUGGGGAAUAUUGCGCAAUGGGCGAAAGCCUGACGCAGCAACGCCGUGUGAGGGAUGAAGGCUUUCGGGUCGUAAACCUCUGUCAGAAGGGAAGAACGGGCAUUGGUCUAAUAGGCCUUUGUUUUGACGGUACCUUCAGAGGAAGCACCGGCUAACUCCGUGCCAGCCGCCGCGGUAAUAC
rnacentral:rRNA from 1 species